AUUGAACGCUGGCGGAAUGCUUUACACAUGCAAGUCGAACGGCAGCACGGGGCAACCUGGUGGCGAGUGGCGAACGGGUGAGUAAUACAUCGGAACGUGCCCAAUCGUGGGGGAUAACGUAGCGAAAGUUACGCUAAUACCGCAUACGAUCUACGGAUGAAAGCGGGGGAUCGCAAGACCUCGCGCGAAUGGAGCGGCCGAUGUCAGAUUAGGUAGUUGGUGGGGGUAAAGGCUCACCAAGCCGACGAUCUGUAGCUGGUCUGAGAGGACGACCAGCCACACUGGGACUGAGACACGGCCCAGACUCCUACGGGAGGCAGCAGUGGGGAAUUUUGGACAAUGGGCGCAAGCCUGAUCCAGCCAUUCCGCGUGCAGGAUGAAGGCC
rnacentral:rRNA from 1 species